UGGGGAAUCUUGCGCAAUGGGCGAAAGCCUGACGCAGCGACGCCGCGUGCGGGAAGAAGGCCUUCGGGUUGUAAACCGCUUUCAGGGGGGACGAAGCCACUCGGGUUAAUAGCCCAGAGGGUGACGGUACCUUCAGAAGAAGCCCCGGCUAACUACGUGCCAGCAGCCGCGGUAAUACGUAGGGGGCAAGCGUUGUCCGGAUUUAUUGGGCGUAAAGAGCGUGUAGGCGGCUAGGUAGGUCCGCUGUGAAAACUUAAGGCUCAACCUUAAGAGGUCGGUGGAAACCAUCUGGCUAGAGUCCGGAAGAGGAGAGUGGAAUUCCCGGUGUAGCGGUGAAAUGCGCAGAUAUCGGGAAGAACACCCGUGGCGAAGGCGGCUCUCUGGGACGGUACUGACGCUGAGACGCGAAAGCGUGGGGAGCGAACAG
rnacentral:rRNA from 1 species